rnacentral:tRNA from 1 species
UCCCUGAUGGUCCAGUGGUUAAGACUCUGCACUUCUACUGCAGGGGGGCAAGAGUUUCAUUCCUGUUUGGGGGA